GAUGAAGAACGUAGCGAAAUGCGAUAAGUAAUGUGAAUUGCAGAAUUCAGUGAAUCAUCGAAUCUUUGAACGCACCUUGCGCCCUUUGGCCAUUCCGAAGGGCAUGCCUGUUUGAGUAUCAUGAACACCUCAACUCUCAUGGCUCGCCAUGAUGAGCUUGGACUUUGGGGGUCUUGCUGGCCUGUGGUCGGCUCCUCUCAAAUGGAUCAGCUUGCCAGUGUUUGGUGGCAUCACAGGUGUGAUAACUAUCUGCGCUUGUGGUUUUCCAUCAGAUAACCUUCAGUGAUGGAGGUUCGCUGGAGCUCAUAAACGUCUCCCCUAAGCGGGGACAGCCCUUUGAAUGUUUGAUCUCAAAUCAGGUAGGACUACCCGCUGAACUUAAGCAUAUCAAUAAGCGAGGA
rnacentral:misc_RNA from 1 species